rnacentral:rRNA from 1 species
CUAAUACAUGCAAGUCGAGCGAGCUUGCCUAGAUGAUUUUAGUGCUUGCACUAAAUGAAACUAGAUACAAGCGAGCGGCGGACGGGUGAGUAACACGUGGGUAACCUGCCCAAGAGACUGGGAUAACACCUGGAAACAGAUGCUAAUACCGGAUAACAACACUAGACGCAUGUCUAGAGUUUGAAAGAUGGUUCUGCUAUCACUCUUGGAUGGACCUGCGGUGCAUUAGCUAGUUGGUAAGGUAACGGCUUACCAAGGCAAUGAUGCAUAGCCGAGUUGAGAGACUGAUCGGCCACAUUGGGACUGAGACACGGCCCAAACUCCUACGGGAGGCAGCAGUAGGGAAUCUUCCNCAAUGGACGAAAGUCUGAUGGAGCAACGCCGCGUGAGUGAAGAANGGNUUCCGGCUCGUAAAGCUCUGUUGGU